GACGAACGCUGGCGGCGUGCUUAACACAUGCAAGUCGUACGGUAAGGCCCUUUCGGGGGUCCACGAGUGGCGAACGGGUGAGUAACACGUGGGUAACCUUCCCACAACUUUGGGAUAACGCUAGGAAACUGGUGCUAAUACUGGAUAUGUGCUCCUGCUGCAUGGUGGGGGUUGGAAAGCUCCGGCGGUUGUGGAUGGACUCGCGGCCUAUCGGCUUGUUGGUGGGGUAGUGGGCUACCGAGGCGCCGACGGGUCGCCGGACUGUGAGGGUGACCGGCCACACUGGGACUGAGAUACGGCCCAGACUCCGACGGGAGGCAGCAGUGGGGAAUAUUGCACAAGGGGCGCCAGCCGGAUGCAGCAACGCCGCGUGCGGGAUGACGGCCUUCGGGUUGUAAAACGCUUUCAGCAGGGACGAAGCUUUUUGUGACGGUACCUGCAGAAGAAGCACCGGCUAACUACGUG
rnacentral:rRNA from 1 species